rnacentral:misc_RNA from 1 species
GAAGUGCGAUAAGCAAUGCGAAUUGCAGAACCGUGAGUCAUCAGAUUUUUGAACGCAACUGGCGCUGGUUGGCUCCCCAACCAGCAUGCUUGUUUCAGUGUCUCAAUAUCCCCUCACCCAAAUCUUAAUGCGGGAGAUACCCUUCUCUCGUUAAGCAAGAAAGCACUCUGCGCUCUGCGAGCGAUUUCGACUAGUUCGAUCUCGCACUCAAUGCAGCGGUCACAUUGUUCGCAGUGUGAACUCAUUGAGAGCAAAGGCAGUGCAGCCUAGCUGCCAGUGCUUAGACACUCAAACUUUUCUUGUAUCUGAAAUCAAGCAGGACCACCCGCUGAACUUAA